UACAGAGGUGGCAAGCGUUGUUCGGAAUUACUGGGCGUAAAGGGCGCGUAGGCGGUUCGGUAAGUCCUGUGUGAAAUCCCUCGGCUCAACUGAGGAACUGCACGGGAGACUGCCGGGCUUGAGUUCGGGAGAGGGAAGCGGAAUUCCGGGUGUAGCGGUGAAAUGCGUAGAUAUCAGGAGGAACACCGGUGGUGUAGACGGCUUACUGGACCAUAACUGACGCUGAGACACGAAAGCGUGGGUAGCAAACAGG
rnacentral:rRNA from 1 species